GAAAACGUGCCCGAAAGAUAGGGGCCUCCUUGAUAGGGAGUCCUAUAGAGGUUCGAACCCUCUCGUUUUCU
rnacentral:tRNA from 1 species